CACGUAGGGGGCGAGCGUUGUCCGGAGUUACUGGGCGUAAAGGGCAUGCAGGCGGUCCGACACGUUUUGUGUGACAGCGGGUGGCUUAACUACCCGAGGAUGCGAAAGACGGUUGGACUUGAGGACUCGAGAGGGACACGGAAUUCCGGGUGGAGUGGUGAAAUGCGUAGAGAUCCGGAGGAACACCGAAGGCGAAGGCAGUGUCCUGGCGAGUGACUGACGCUGAGGUGCGAAAGCCAGGGGAGCGAACGGG
rnacentral:rRNA from 1 species